rnacentral:lncRNA from 1 species
CCCCAGGCCUCUGUCUGGACUCCUCUGCAGCCUGUACUUCCUCUUCAGCACUGCAGCUCCUGAAACACUUGGUGACAUAUGGUAGCCUAUCUGUGAAGUGUGCUCAGUGCACUCCAUUUGCUUUCUCACUCUGCAGGCUGGUGCAUCGUGUUGGGCUUCGUAUUUCUUAAAGGGAGACUGAUAAACUGAUAGUUGGCCACCUGAAAUCUUUUUUUUGGAACAAGACUGGAACCUGACACAUCGGCCAGAACAGAAGGCAUGAAAGUGCUGUGACAGUGAUCCAGCCGGGCCAUUCUGUCCAGAGCCACGCAGCCCUGCAGCUGUUAGCCUGGAGGACUUCAUGGCCUCAGCCCGUGUUGUCGAUGGAGAAGAACUGGAACCAUUGAAGAGUCUUCAUGUUGCACACACUGUCUCCUUCACCAUCCAUGAAUGUGGGGACGCAUGGAUCCCACAUCCAUGAAUUGGGAAUGUGGGUGACGAUGGCUGUGGCAACAGAAGGAGGAGCACAGAAGGCUCCUGGAGGUGCUGUGCACUGGAAACAGGUUGGAUGUGUGCUAUUUGGGUGUAGCAGACAACACGGGGAGAAGUCUUCUGCAGAAGGAGGUGAGUGACUGAGGGGUAACGCGCUGGGUUUGAAUGGAACUAUCCGUCAAACCGUGAGGCCUAUUCUUUGGAGCUAUAUUUGCCAAGAACUCAAGUGUCCUGUAAAACUUGGAGCAUCUUGGAAGUGGGAGGAAGUGCACCCCAACCCUGACACUUUUAUUUUAGAAAAAGAAACCUAAGCUCAGAACAAGCUUCUGUGUUCUUAGAUGAGCCAGCAUAAGCAUCUGUACUCUGACUCCAACGCCAAUAUUUCUUCCUACUUCAGAAUGCUUUCAAACGUAAGAUGUCAUGAAUGCAAGCAAAGGCUUUCUGUGGGUAGCAAGCUUACUGCUAGUUUUGGGAUGAAAAGACCUGAUGCCUUGGGUGGUUUUCUAUAUUCAAACAAAAGAUGCAACAGAUCAUCUGCAGAUGACCAAUUGGUAUAAUGGCCAAAUGAUUUAGAGAAGUUGUUUUCAUCUUUUUUAUCUAUCAGUAGAUGGCAGGAGAUACCAUCAAAUCAAGUCAUGAAAAGGGGCUCAAAUGAUGGAAUUCAGUCAUUGUUCCUUGUAUUCCCUAGAAAGCUUGCUAUCUAGGGUAGUCAGGGUACUAUGUUGACACCUAGGGGGAGACUGUUUUUGAAUAUAGAUUUGGGUUCACUUAUUUGCUUCCCCAUUAAUCUGGUGAGAUUACAGCUGGUUUAAAACAAUAACCAAAUGUUGGAACUAAAUUUACACUCUUUAAAGAAGACACCUGGAGAAAUGAUUCAUCACUCAUGUUGCUAAGAUUAAUUGGGCAUUAUAAUUGUGUUAAGUGGAUUCACACACCAUGUAGGAAUCCAGGAGUUUCCUAUUUGCUUUCUUUUCUUUUCUUUUUUCUUUCCCUUUAGGCAGAGAAGAGAAAACAGAGCUAGCUAACUUUGGUGUGAGAUGGGGCAAUCCAGUAUCAUAAACAGCUUUAUCUAAGAUUAAUGCAGAUAAAGCACUACAAUUAAAAUAAUACUCAGUAAACGCAAGGAUAUUUUCAAAUGCCUGAAUCGACUCUGGUCUUAUGAGCUGAUAUUUCCCUACCCACAGAAAGGUCAUUUUCAUCAAGAUUAAAUUUGAUUUUACUUAGAUUUUUUUGGAGUAAAGGGUACUUAGAUGCACUAUCCUCAGGUUUUCCUAAUUUGGAGAUUAUAGAAAGGUGAAGCCCUUGUGGAAUUUUCAAGAAUUGAAGUUUUCAAGUCUUCAAGUGUGUUGUUCCCUUCUUAUGCACUUGUCAUCACUUAACACCUUAUGCCUGUGAUGCAAAGGAUUUGAAUCAACUACUUUAAAAAAAUCUCUUUCAUCGUUUGACCCCUGCUUUUUGGAUAAUUUAUGAGAAAAACAUUUAAUCGAUGUAUUGAUUUUUUUCUCUUUUAAACAACAGCUUAGCCGGAAACCAUGCAUAGUUUGGGAAGGCUAACUGCAGGGGCAUGGACAUGGGUGUCACACCCAACCACAGCCUUGGUUUGUGCCACCUCCAAUCACAAGGGCACCAAGGGCCUGCUGGGUCCCCAGGUGGGAAUGAGUGCCACAGAAAGCCCCAAAUCCUUGAAACAGAAAGAGAACUGAAUUUGCUUGCAAGCAGACUCUACUUACUUUUCCUUGUAAAUUUCUCCACUGGGGAAAAGAUUUUACUCAAAAGCACAUUAUUUUCUCCUUUGCAAAACAUCCAAGUGGUGGCUGCUACCAAAAUAUGCUACCAGAGAACAUAAAAACAGUCUUCUGAGUCUGUGUUAGGCCACUUGAAAGUCUCACUUGACAACCCCUCAGUGUUACUGAGCAGCACCAUGCUGUUGUACUGCGGGAGAUGGCACUUCUGGGUCAAGGCAUAGCCCAAACCCAAGCAAGACGAUACUCCACUCCAAGUGCUACUGUCAGGGAGUGGAACCUCUACAUGUGAGAAACUGGGAAGAAGCGAACAGUUCUGCAGUGGGGCAGGAGAGAGUCAGCACACCCUUACUUCAGUAAUUUUACCGUCUAUUAUAUUGUUGUAAAUCUACUAUACCUUAUUUAUUUCACCCUUUCAAAUUCUAAAGUGACAGUAAUUUACAUGAUCUCCUAUGCAAUGGUGGUAUAUUUUCCCCGGUUCUUUUCCAAAAGAUUCCACUUUUCUGUUUUAUAUAUACUAUUGUCUACUAAGCUCAACGUAUUGAAGAGUAUCUUGAUAUUCUUCUCUAUCCAACUGUGUUCACAAGAAAGAAACUUACAAGUUCUUUCACUAAUAAAUUAUAAAUGAUUAAUAAAGCUUAAUACUAUCACACCUAAAUGUAUAAUAGAAAAUGAAUGUUUAGAGCCAAAGAUAGUCAUGUUUAAUCACAUAAUUGUUAAGAAGAAUUUGAGACUUCAUCCUACUUAUAAGAUAACAAGAAAGCUUGUUAUAGCUUCAUGGUGCUUGUAGAAGAUAUGAGUCUCCUGGGUCAGAGACAGAGGAUACUCUAUUUAUUCACUGCAGUUUUAGAGCCGGAUAUCGGUCCUAACUCUCACCAAGUGAUGUGGAAAAUGUGAGAUGACACUUACUUUGCAGUGAUUGUGCUACCAGGGGUACAGAAGGAAUCCAGAAUUUAGUGAAUUUAAGUCUUUUAUGAUGGGCAGUAAAUAUGUCUGCUUUUCUUGGGAGGGAGACAACUAUACAUUCCAAGACUCUUCAUUAGAUAAGCAUGCUAGAGAGGAAUAAUGGUAAGUAGAAACAGGAGAGACCUAUGGAGAUUUGACCCUCAAUAACAUCUGCAGAUCAACAAGAGCCACUGGAGAUGUCACGGUGAGAAUUUGUUUUUGCUAAGUUUUAAGUAGUACUAGAGGCAGUCGUGUACUUUGCUUAUGCAAAGUCUGAAUUCAGUUUUCCAAAUUUUCCCAGAGUCUUCCUACUUUACGUAUAUUUCUAUCAAUAAAUAUAUAAUUACAAUUUUGUUUUUUUCCUGGGAAUAAAAGUAAUGCAUGGUCAUUAUAGCAAAUGUGGAGAAGUAGGAAGGAAAUAUAAAAAUCAUUCACAGUUUCAUCACUCAGAGGUAAACCUUCAUUAAAAUGUUGGCUUUUUAAAUGGUUCAGUCCAUAUUCUUUUUCAUGUAAAUUGAGAUAAUGUUAUUUACUUAUGUAUUUUGAUAGUUUUGCUUUUUUACAUAUGGAGAGAAUUGUACAAGGUCAUGAGUUAUUGCAUAAAAUUAUGAUUUUAAAAUAAUUGCAUAAUAUUCUUACAGUAAUAUGCCAUUUUAAAAAACUAUUCCUUCAGUGUUAGAAAAUUUGCUAUUAAAUAGUACAAUGAUGAAUAUUCUGGUACAUAAAUGCUUUUCAUUGCUGUUAGUUAGCUUCCUAUAAGAAAAAUUAUGGAAUUGAAGUGUCUAGUUUUAUUUUAAGGUUCUAUUUCCAGACUGCUUUCAAGAAAGAUUAUACCAAUUUACAUACAUAGAACAAUGUUGGUGAUUGUUUUUCUCCUCACAUAUUCAAUACAGUUGAAUGUUUUAAUUUUAAAACCUGUUAAUAAGAUAGCUAAAAAUAUGCUUUUAAAUUAGCAUUUUUUGAUUACUAGUAAAAUAUAGUUGUGCCUUAAUAUGGGGGGGGGCUUUGGCUCCAGAACCUCUCUGGGAACCAAAGCCUGCUGAUGCUCAAGUAUCUUAUAUCACAAGGUGUGGUAUUUGCUUAUAACCUAUUCUCAUCCUCUAGAUAUGUUAAAUCUUCCCUAGAUUACUUAUACAGCCUAAUACAAUGAAAAUACCAUGUAAAUACUUGUUAUAUUGUAUGGUUUAGGGAAUAAUGACAUGAAAAAAAUAAGUCUGUACAUGCUCAGUAUGCCACUGUUUUAGAAAAACAUUUUUAAUUCAAGGUUGUUUAAAUCAUUUUGUUACAAAACCUUUGGAUAUGAAAAGCUGUUAUCUUUCUCUGUUAUUUAAUGGAUCCUUUGUAUUUGUUUUUAAAAUCUGCUCAUGACCUUUUUCAUUAUCCUAAUAAAGUUUUAAUAUUUUUCUUACUAAAGAAAAGCUUUCCAAAUACCCUGUCUGUAACAUUUUGUAUACUAGAAUUUUGUAAAGUAUCUCCCUAAAUGGUUUAUUUUUAAGUUGUAUUAAUGCUGAUUUUAGACACUUGGACAUUAAACAUUGUCUGGCC